CACUACCGCGUCGAGACCAUCUCUCCCAGAGCCUACUCUCGAACAAUCCACUCUUCGGCAGGCUGCGAAGAGAAAACCCUCGCAAACCCUCGCAAACUCUCUUUUCCUUUCUCAGGGCUUCAAGGAAGAAAGAAAGGAAAAAAGAAAAAAAGAAGAAGCCCUAAUCCUAACCCUAACCCUAGAAAUGGACGCGAUCAGGAAGCAGCUGGACGUUCUGAUGGGAGCGAACCGUAACGGCGACGUUAGAGAGGUGAAUCGCAAGUACUACGAUCGAGAUGUCUGCCGUCUCUACCUCGUUGGCCUCUGCCCUCAUGAGCUCUUCCAGCUAACGAAAAUGGAUCUGGGUCCAUGCCCGAAGGUGCACUCGCUGCAGCUGAGAAAGGAAUAUGAAGAAGCAAAAGGAAAAAGUACAGACAAUUAUGACAGGGACUUGGAGGAUGUCAUAGAUAGGCUUAUUGUUGAGUGUGAUCGGAAAAUUCAAAGAGCCCUUAAACGACUCGAGGACGAGGAUGCUAAAGCUGCCAUUGCUAUAUCUGUGUCUGAGGUUACGCAGACACCCGAGGUUCUCGAGUUGUCGAAGCAAAUAAAGGAAAAGCUGAAGGAAGUGGAUGCUUAUGAUUUGGAAGGGAAAACAGAUAAUAAAAUUCGGGCUUUGGAAGUGGUGGAAGAGCUCAGAGCCAAACGAGCGGACAAACAGUCCAUGCUUCUACUGGAUGCCUUCAACAAAGACAGAGCUUCUUUACCACAGCCUCUUCCAAACCCUCCUCCAUUGGCUCCAUUGCCAGCACUUGUUCCUCCAGAUGCUCGAACACAGGAAAUGAUAAAUGAGAAGCUGAAGAAGGCAGAGGAUCUUGGUGAGCAAGGAAUGGUAGAUGAAGCACAGAAAGCAUUGGAAGAAGCAGAAGCCCUGAAAAAGUUGGGUGCAAGGCAGGAACCAAUACUGGACUCCUCAAAGUACACUGCUGCUGAUGUGCGCAUUACUGAUCAGAAGCUACGUGUCUGUGACAUUUGUGGAGCAUUCUUGAGCGUAUAUGACAGUCCUUCAGCUUUUGACGGGGCGCAUUAUACCUCCUUGUUACCAGCAGGCUUUUGGGCCCAGUUUUACGAGGAAAACUUUUGCAGCUAAAGAAUUGACCGUCGCUUAGCUGAUCAUUUUGGAGGAAAGCUUCACUUGGGCUAUAUGCAAAUCCGAGAGAAGUUACAAGAGCUUCAGGUGCUGACAUAAUGUUUCACACUCUACCCUAGAGAAUCAGUUAUGUAUGGCAUCAUUCUCUUUACUUUUGGAGUCGAUAUUCUGGUACAGCUGAGCGAUCUUGACAUUUUCCGUACUCAAUAGCCAUGUUCUGCCAUCUCUUACGGUACUUCAGAGGUUUGAAGGAUCUGGCUAUCAUUCUGCAGUAUUGCACGUGUUUUUGUGGGUUUCUAAUUUGAUCAUAGUGACAAAUAAGUGUCUCGUGUGGUGGAAAGGCUAAGUUGGCGGUGGCAGUGGUGUACAUGGGUAAUUGUUGAAGGCAUAUAAAGGUCUGCUCCUAGGGCAUAUGGUGCCUAAUGUAACAAGUCUAUCACCUUAUGGUUACCUGCUCACAGCUUUAUAUUUUCUUCUUCUGUUUUUUGUUUUUGUUUUGACAUGUAGGUUCAUUUUGAACGAAGUGUUAAGAGUAAGAGCUGUUUGCAGCUCUUCUAUGUUUUGAUGUUUCUUUGUACUGUAAAAUUUCUCCAUAUUUGUCAUGAUAAAUACUAUAUGUUAUUGUUAAAUACGAGAGUUUAGUUCCUUGUUUGCUAUUUGACUUCAAGCGUAGUUUCUAAUUGUGGUGAAAUAUCAUGAUGACCUGCAUAUGAUUUAAUGACUUAUGGCUGGCGAGAUCAUUUAGAUGGCUUUAUGCUUCUUGCUUUUGUAUGCAUGCUUAUUGCCUUGUGUCAUUCCUUCCCAGCUGGAAAUACAUUUGAUGCAGUUCAAGUUGUUUUUUUUAGCCGCAUCUCUUAGUAAUUUAAUUUUGCCAGGAAGAGAGAAAUAAGAGUCGGAAGGUAGAUCGAUUGGAAGAUGAUAGAAG